GUGGGCUCCUCCCCGCCCAGCAGCAGCCGAGUCAGCGCCAGGAAGGGAAACACCCGGUUCCGGCUGUAGGAGCGGCCCAGGCAGAGCCCGGCCGGCCUCGCUCGGCUUCUCUCCUGCAGUUCAUGUGGCCGGUUCCUUCCUGGGAGGAGCCUGGCGCGUGACCUGGGGCUGGCCCCUGGGGGCGGGGCUUCUGCCUUGUUUGGUGGGUUGGGUUUUAAUUUCCCUCCCGAGAGCGCGAUUGGCUCCCGGUUCCCCAAUUGGCUUUAAAAAAGCUUUAAAGGCUCGUUACUGCACCUGCACGAUGUUUGGUUUCAGUUUUGGGAUCCCCCGGCUGCUGCUGGCCCUGCCCCUCGCUCCUCCUGCAGCGCCGCGUGGCUGCGGGCGCCGGGCUCAUGUGCAGGGGCCUUGACUUGUUCGCUUGUGCUGGUACAUCAUCCCCACCCCCAGCCUGCCCCUGCAUUCCUGACCUCAGGAAAGGGAAACUACCCCUGUCCCACUGCCCAGAGGGAGCCAUGGCUGCGGAGAGCCCCGGGGAAAGUCUCCAGGAGGAAGCGACGUGUCCCGUCUGUCUGGAGUAUUUCACAGACCCUGUCACUCUGGAGUGUGGGCACAAUCUCUGCCGAUCCUGCAUCGCCCAGUGCUGGGAGGGACCCGACACAGCCACCUCCUGCCCUCAGUGCAGAGAAACUGUGCAACAGAGAAACCUCAGGCCCAACAGGCAGCUGGCGAACAUGGUAGUUCCCCCCACUAGCCAUUCUGAGCCCCAGUCUGUGACCCCCCAGCAGCACCAUGUGCCCCUCUCUGUCCUAGCCUGGCUCCCUGCUGCCGGAUGUUCUGACACCGCAGUGGCCUCUGGUGGGUGAAAGGUGGAACUACAUCACUUCUCUGGCAGAAUGUGGUUUCUGUGGGGAAAAAAUUCUGCAGCCGGAAAUGAAUUCUGUGUUUCCGCAGUAGCUCAGAAUUCUCCUGGGAGUAUAUAUUGCAAUGAUGAAUGUCACUGCAUCUAAAUUUUAGCUGCCUAGAAAUUUACUGGAAGGACACUGUGAGCCCCAAAGCCUGAGUUCUGGGGAGAUGUAAGUGUCUUAGAAUGGGAUCCACAAAAGCCAGCUGACUCGGUAGGAAACUGCCUCACCUAACUGAUGGGAAAUGCUGACCAGAGGGGCAUUGUACAGGGGGGUCUAGGGACCUAACUCAGCUUUGUGGAUUGCAGGGCUGUUCCUGUGACUCUCGAGUGCCUAUUGUCUCUUGAUAAAUUUUCUUCCUGAUGUAAAAUCCCCAAAAUACAGAAAAAACAAAAGCAGCUUUUCUCUUCUUAGGAUCCAAUUUGGAGGGAUUGGGAGAGUGUGAAAAAGGAGGGGGAUGAGAAUAGGGUGUUUAACAAGAGUGGGAAGAAGGAAUAUCCAGGAACUCCUGGAGUCAGGAUCUGUAACAACAUUGUACCCAGUUGCUCAUGAAGAAUCCAGCGGCUUCCCCACCAGCAUCUCUGCCCAGCUCGCCUUUCCCCUCGCAGCUGCAGCUCCUGGUCUGGCUCCAGAAGGCCACUCCCCAGAUUCCCUCUUGAUCCUGAUCUCAGAUCCACUCUGCCACAAACGAGUCCUGACUGCAGGGCCCGGCCACAGGAAACAGCCGCAGAAUGAAG